CUGGCUCAGAACGAACGCUGGCGGCAUGCCUAACACAUGCAAGUCGAACGAGACCUUCGGGUCUAGUGGCGCACGGGUGCGUAACGCGUGGGAAUCUGCCCUUGGGUUCGGAACAACAGUUGGAAACGACUGCUAAUACCGGAUGAUGACUUCGGUCCAAAGAUUUAUCGCCCAGGGAUGAGCCCGCGUAGGAUUAGCUUGUUGGUGAGGUAAAAGCUCACCAAGGCGACGAUCCUUAGCUGGUCUGAGAGGAUGAUCAGCCACACUGGGACUGAGACACGGCCCAGACUCCUACGGGAGGCAGCAGUGGGGAAUAUUGGACAAUGGGCGAAAGCCUGAUCCAGCAAUGCCGCGUGAGUGAUGAAGGCCUUAGGGUUGUAAAGCUCUUUUACCCGGGAUGAUAAUGACAGUACCGGGAGAAUAAGCCCCGGCUAACUCCGUGCCAGCAGCCGCGGUAAUACGGAGGGGGCUAGCGUUGUUCGGAAUUACUGGGCGUAAAGCGCACGUAGGCGGCUUUGUAAGUUAGAGGUGAAAGCCCAGGGCUCAACCCUGGAAUUGCCUUUAAGACUGCAUCGCUUGAACAUCGGAGAGGUAAGUGGAAUUCCGAGUGUAGAGGUGAAAUUCGUAGAUAUUCGGAAGAACACCAGUGGCGAAGGCGGCGAUCUGGGUCGAUACUGACGCUGAGUGCGAAAGCGUGGGGAGCAAACAGAUUAGAUACCCUGGUAGUCCACGCCGUAAACGAUGAGUGCUAGUGCUGUGGGUAUGACCCCCGCGGUGUCGCAGCUACGCGUAAGCACUC
rnacentral:rRNA from 1 species